rfam:Otolemur garnettii contig014003, whole genome shotgun sequence.
UGCAAUGAGAAGAAUGAGCCUCAGAGAUCAAGUACAAGACUUAUUUUCUUGCCACCAGAUACAUGUUAUCCGUGAGCUGACUGAAAAACAUACAUCAAAGGAACUUCCCUUGAAGAGAGAGG